GAACCUUACCUAAGCUUGACAUCCCAAUGACAUCUCCUUAAUCGGAGAGUUCCCUUCGGGGACAUUGGUGACAGGUGGUGCAUGGUUGUCGUCAGCUCGUGUCGUGAGAUGUUGGGUUAAGUCCCGCAACGAGCGCAACCCUUGUCUUUAGUUGCCAUCAUUAAGUUGGGCACUCUAGAGAGACUGCCAGGGAUAACCUGGGGGAAGGUGGGGAUGACGUCAAAUCAUCAUGCCCCUUAUGCUUAGGGCUACACACGUGCUACAAUGGGUAGUACAGAGGGUUGCCAAGCCGUAAGGUGGAGCUAAUCCCUUAAAGCUACUCUCAGUUCGGAUUGUAGGCUGAAACUCGCCUACAUGAAGCUGGAGUUACUAGUAAUCGCAGAUCAGAAUGCUGCGGUGAAUGCGUUCCCGGGUCUUGUACACACCGCCCGUCACACCACGGGAGUUGGAGACGCCCGAAGCCGAUUAUCUAACCUUUUGGAAGAAGUCGUCGAAGGUGGAAUCAAUAACUGGGGUGAAGUCGUAACAAGGUAGCCGUAUCGGAAGGUGCGGCUGGAUCACCUCCUUUCUAAGGA
rnacentral:rRNA from 1 species